rnacentral:rRNA from 1 species
GAUGAACGCUGGCGGCGUGCCUAAUACAUGCAAGUCGAGCGAACAGACGAGGAGCUUGCUCCUCUGACGUUAGCGGCGGACGGGUGAGUAACACGUGGAUAACCUACCUAUAAGACUGGGAUAACUUCGGGAAACCGGAGCUAAUACCGGAUAAUAUAUUGAACCGCAUGGUUCAAUAGUGAAAGACGGUUUUGCUGUCACUUAUAGAUGGAUCCGCGCCGCAUUAGCUAGUUGGUAAGGUAACGGCUUACCAAGGCAACGAUGCGUAGCCGACCUGAGAGGGUGAUCGGCCACACUGGAACUGAGACACGGUCCAGACUCCUACGGGAGGCAGCAGUAGGGAAUCUUCCGCCAUGGGCGCAAGCCUGCCGGCGCCCCGCCGCGUGAGUGAUGAAGGUCUUCGGAUCGUAAAACUCUGUUAUUAGGGAAGAACAAAUGUGUAAGUAACUAUGCCCGUCUUGACGGUACCUAAUCAGACAGCCACGGCUAACUACGUG